rnacentral:rRNA from 1 species
UACGUAGGUGGCAAGCGUUUGUCCGGAUUUACUGGGCGUAAAGGGUGUGUAGGCGGAAUUUUAAGUAGAAAGUGAAAGGUUGGAGCUCAACUCCAACACUGCUUCCUAUACUGGAAUUCUUGAGUCCCGGAGAGGAAGAUGGAACGACACGUGUAGCGGUGAAAUGCGUUGAUAUGUGUCGGAACACCAAUGGCGAAGGCAGUCUUCUGGACGGGUACUGACGCUGAGACACGAAAGCCAAGGGAGCGAACAGG